rnacentral:tRNA from 1 species
GCGGGUGUGGCGGAACUGGCAGACGCGCAUGGUUGAGGGCCAUGUCCUCGCAAGAGGGUGGAGGUUCGAGUCCUCUCACCCGCA